AUAUAUAUUUACGUAACAUAUAUGUCAUACUUCGUAUUUUAAUGACAAAUUGUACACUAAAAAUUGAAUGGAAUUUCAAACGACACUUUAUGGACCUUUUUUAAUACUGUAGGAUUUCAAAUUAUGAUUUGGCUAAUUUAGUAUUGCAUAAUCGGACAGGUAUAUUGUUUAGAUAAAAUAAAAAAUUACAUUGUUUCAAUAAAUAUUCUUAUAAUUAGAACAAAAAUAUUUAAAUAUUCGGUGUUCAACUAAACAAUAUUAAAAAAAAAUUAGUUAUGAUAAAUUUUUUAAUAUUUCGUUGUGAAUCCCUUGUUGUCUAUAACAAUUUGCAGGCUCUUUGGAAUUGAUUUAUUAACUUUCGAGUUUUCUCUAAUUAGUGUUUCCCUCUUAAGCUGAAGUAUGGUGUUAAAUUUCUUCUGUUAAACUCAUCUGGCCACUUCUUCCCAGGGAUAUGUAGUCAUUUAGGUAAAGAUCUGGGCUCUUGGCUGGUGUUUGUUUUGCCAUAGUUAAAGACAAGCUGCCCUGCAAAUUACAAAAUCAUCGCUACGCUAGCAGAGCCAACUGCUUCGGCUGCACAGCCGAUGCUUUCUCGCGCGCGAUCUCCUAAAAAUGUAAUUUGAUUAAAUGUUGAUGUUAAUGUGCUUUAUAUAGUGAAUAAUUGAUGAAAUUUCAAGUGCGAGGCCGACGAUUUCAUUAAAUUUGAUCAAUUAGACCAAUUACGAGAAAAGGAAAAUAACAAUAAGAGAACGAAAUAAAUAAAGGAAUUCUUUUUCUAAAGGGCACGCGCCCUUCUUCGCAAAGUUACUUGCGAUUAGAUUUUUAUAAGCAGAAUAGCAAAAUAGUAAGUAAAUAAUAUAAAGUAUUUUUUAAUCAUAUUCGAAUCGAAUUUCUUUAUUAUUCCACGUAAUGGAUUCAUUUUAUAAGCAACAACAAAUACAACUCACAAAAGUGAUUAUUUAAGGUUAUUUAAUCAUGUCCCUUUUUCCAACGCAAACGAAAGAAAGUUGGGCCUAACUCCGUAUGACAAGGAAACGCACAAUACUCUGAAAUUUUACAUAUAUAAAAUUUGUGUAUUUAAAAUCCCUUAAAUUCUAUGUAUAAGUUAAAUAAUGAGUCAAAUUUAAAAAAAAAAUACAUUUUUAGGAAUACAAAUUUUA